rnacentral:rRNA from 1 species
ACCGAGGACGUCAUUUUGUGGAAACACCCGACUAGUGGGCAUUACUCGGCGGCCUCCGCAUAUAAUGCGCAAAUCAUAGGGAUGGUGCUUUCACCCAUGGACCAAAUGGUUUGGAAGGUUUGGGGUCCCCCAAAAGUCAAGUUCUUUGCUUUAUUGGCACUUCAGGAUAGAAUUUGGACCGCAGACAGAUUAGCCAAGAGAGGGUGGCCAAAUUGUGGUUUGUGUCCACUUUGCAAGAGGGUGCAAGAGAGCGGGUCACACCUAUUCUUCAAGUGCCACACGAGUAGAAAAACUACUUUAUGUGAGCCACAUUAG